UUAAAAAAAUGACAGAUCAGAAGCAGCAUAUUUAGGUGACUGGCUGUCAACUCUUUGGAAAGGAAUUUUAUUUAUUGGUGUUCAGUCUCUUACAGCAUGUUGAAGUAGGAAUGCUCAACCAUCCUUGGGAGCCAAAACUGUGACCACUAGGGAGGAGGCAAAAACAGACAAGAUUCGCCAUGGAGUUGGAGAGAUGGGUAUUGCUGACAGCAGAAGAGAAAGGUCCAUGCCAACCUUUCUGAUCUUAAGAUGCUACCUUGAACUUGCUGAUUGAGAAGAAAUAAUAAAGCACCUUAGCAAUAGAUAUCUACAGUGUUUGGUAGAUUGCUUCUGCUGGCAAGGAGCCAGUUGUAUUUACUGUCUUUUUGUUUGUUGUCAGCAUCUUAGCACUCAGCAUGAACCCCACAAUUGAAAACUGUCAGAAUAAGUUAUUUUGAGUCUGUAAUGAAUGCUUCUCUAACAUGUUAUUAUUGAAAAUAGCAGGUUUCAAAUGUGUGACCGUAUGGCAUACGCAUUAAUUUGUUUCUUCAGCAAAGUGUGGACUUUUCUCUCGCGCCCUCCCCAUUUUUUAAAGGCUGGAAGAAGUCUGAGCAAUGCUCUGUGAAAGACAUGUCACACACACACACACAGAGAGAGAGAGAGAUGUAUGAAGCAUAUCACAUAUAAUAACCUUGAUUAUAUACAUAGAUUUAUUUCAUAUGAACUGCAUGCAAGGAAUGUACUUGGCAGAUUCUGUUUUACAAAUUCAUAUUCCAGACAAGCUUCUCCCACUUUUCGUACACUAUGAAAGAGAAGCAAGACAAAAAUAAAGUAUAGAUAAAGUAUAUUCCCAGCGGGCUUCAUUAAUUC